UUAAAUUGAAGAGUUUGAUCAUGGCUCAGAUUGAACGCUGGCGGCAGGCCUAACACAUGCAAGUCGAACGGUAACAGGAAACAGCUUGCUGUUUCGCUGACGAGUGGCGGACGGGUGAGUAAUGUCUGGGAAACUGCCUGAUGGAGGGGGAUAACUACUGGAAACGGUAGCUAAUACCGCAUAACGUCGCAAGACCAAAGAGGGGGACCUUCGGGCCUCUUGCCAUCGGAUGUGCCCAGAUGGGAUUAGCUAGUAGGUGGGGUAACGGCUCACCUAGGCGACGA
rnacentral:rRNA from 1 species